rnacentral:rRNA from 1 species
GUGGGGAAUCUUGCGCAAUGGGCGAAAGCCUGACGCAGCCAUGCCGCGUGAAUGAUGAAGGUCUUAGGAUUGUAAAAUUCUUUCACCGGGGACGAUAAUGACGGUACCCGGAGAAGAAGCUCCGGCUAACUUCGUGCCAGCAGCCGCGGUAAUACGAAGGGGGCUAGCGUUGCUCGGAAUUACUGGGCGUAAAGGGCGCGUAGGCGGACAGCUUAGUCAGAGGUGAAAGCCCAGGGCUCAACCUUGGAAUUGCCUUUGAUACUGGCUGUCUUGAGUUUGGGAGAGGUGAGUGGAACUCCGAGUGUAGAGGUGAAAUUCGUAGAUAUUCGGAAGAACACCAGUGGCGAAGGCGACUCACUGGCCCAAUACUGACGCUGAGGCGCGAAAGCGUGGGAAGCAAACAGGAUUAGAUACCCGAGUAGUCC